rnacentral:lncRNA from 1 species
UCUUGGUUGAAAUUGACCACCAUUGCAGAGAAAAUCUCAAAGAUUUUCGAGAGCUCUAUUUUCUCAUCUGCAAUGAUGUGUUGUAUGCGUGAACGUGGUACAAAAGUGCGUCCCUCUGUGGCCUGUGGGUGUGUGUGUAAGUACAGAAAAAGAGAAAAGGAAAGAGAGUGGAUGAAGAAUCUUACAUACAUAGGGAUAUAUAGUAUAUCUAAGAGCACGACAAUUUGCCAGGAAAGCUCCUGAUGGCGACAUUGAUGAUCAUGACAAACAUCGCUGCAACUUUU